ensembl:lncRNA novel transcript
CGCCAACCUCUCUCCACAAGCCAGGGACCCUACGACCCACCGCCGCAGGUGAGCUCCGCCCGGGCGCCCCCUCCCCCACCACGCCUGGAUCCCUGCCGGGCUCCCCGAGCCGAGACUGUGCCUUCUGCAACAGGGCUGUGCUCCAGGCCAGAACCAGCAGCUGAUUUAGAUACCAUCAAGACACCUAAAACCUUAUCAUGAGCCAGAUGCUGUGGAAGAGAUUCUGGGAGAAUCCUGAGGACCCCCCAGUUGCAGCCAUGUCAAGACUGAUGCUGAGGAGGACCCCAACUGUCACGAGCAACACCCGUCGAACACAGCCACCUACUUGGGGAAAGAUCAAGAAGCUGUCACAGAUGGUGGAAGAAAACCUGAGGAAAGCGGGACAACCAGUCACAAUGAGUAAUUUAAUGAUAGCUAUGAGAGCGGUGAUCACCAUUGCUGUGAGUAUUCCUUCAGCAAGCGCUGACACAGAGAACAAUUAUACUUAUUGGGCAUAUCUAUCAAUCUUGGCUGGCAAUAAUGCCUGGAUGUAAUCACUCUAUGACCCAGUUACACAUGCUUUCUGAUCUCAGUAUUUGCCAUAAUGAAUCUGCUCCUAUAAUUAAGGCAUACCACCCUCAAAAACCUAUUUGUAAACAGAAUUGAACCUGGCCAGAAAAAAUGAAUGUACUUGUUUGGGAAGAUUGCAUUGCAGAACAGGCAGAGGUGCUGCGCAAUGAUUCCUAUGGAAUCAUUAUUGAUCGGUCUCCUAAGGGGAUGUUUAGCUUGAAUUGUACCUCUGAGUAUGUGUGCCAUGGCCACACUAUGUUCAGCUGGUCAGAAGAAAACAGUCAGAUGGUAGAAAUGGUAAGAAGUAUGGCAAGAGUUCUUAUUAUCUGGAAACAUGGCGGUAUAGUGGCACCUCAACCUCAAAUGAUAUGACCCGCCGUAGGAGAUUAACAAAAGGAUUUGUGGAAACUAUUAAUGGCUCUUAAUAAGAUCAAAAUUUGGGAACGAAUAAAAAACCAUCUAGAAGGACACUAUACAAACUGGUUUUUGGAUAUUGCAAAGUUAAAAGAACAAAUAUUUAAAGCAUCCCAGGCACAUCUGACCUUAAUACCAGGAACUGGAGUGCUUGAAGGAGCUGCAGACGGAUUAGCAGCCAGUAACCCAUUAAAAUGGAUGAAAACACUUGGAAGCUCUGUGAUUUCAAUGAUGAUUGUGUUAUUAAUCUGUGUUGUUUGUCUUUGUGUAGUCUGCAGAUGCAGAUCCUGACUCCUGCGAGAAGUAGCUCACCGUGAUAAAGCUGCCUUUGCUUUUAUUGCCCUGCAAAAACAAGAAGGGGGAUAUGCUGGGGAAUAGGCCCCCAAAUCUGGACAUAAACUGGCCCCAAAACUGGCCAUAAACAAAAUCUCUGCAGCGCUGUGACAUGUUCAUGGUGGCCAUAACGCCCAUGCUGGAAGGCUGUGGUUUACCGGAAUGAGAGCGAGGAACACCUGGCCUAUCCAGGGCGGAAAACCACUUAUAGGUAUUCCUAAACCACAAACAACCUAUGCCUUAAGGACAUGUUCCUGCUGCAGAUAACUAGCCAGAGCCCAUCCCUUUGUUUCGGCCCAUCCUUUUGUUUCCUGUAAGGAGUGCUUUUAGUUAAUCUAUAAUCUAUAGAAACAAUACUUAUCACUGGCUUGCUGUCAAUAAAUAUGUGGGUAAAUCUCUGCUCAUGGCUCUC